CGGGCGACAGGCUGACGGUCCUCCUGCCGGGAUGCUAAUCCAGAAGGGAGAGGAAAGAAGAAGACUCCUGCCAUUUCAGUUAAGUGGAAUUAUUGGUUGUAAGAUCCAAGCUGAUUUCAGACAUAUUAAAACAUGAAUAAAACUUUGUCAUCGAAUCAGUAAUACAGGUGUGGCAGUGUGGCAUGCGGCAUUCAAGAUGGGGAACAACUUUGCUGAGUCCUUGCUGUCUAUUCCACCAAAGCAGCAACGUGUCCCGUUCAGCUCAUAUCCAGGAAAAGAUCCACACUGAAGUAACAUCUGUGACAAAUGAAGUCAUGAGGUCUUCCAUGUACUGCUCUUUCCUUGUCUCAAGCACAUUCAUGUUAGAGGACAAAACCUCCCUAGAAGCAGCCAACCGAAAGGGUUUUCUGAUGGGAGAUAAUGUUGAACAUUUUGCUUUGUGACUUGAAUUUACAAUGUUCUGUCUGGAACUAAUUAUUAAUUGAAGAACUUUAUUUUUUGCCUGUUUUUCAUGUUCAUCCAGAAGAUUUAGCUCUGUCUCAAUAGAUAAAAUAUUCCAUACACUUAUGCAUUAAAAAUAUUUUAAUUAUUG
ensembl:lncRNA